CCUACGGGCGGCAGCAGUGGGGAAUAUUGGACAAUGGAGGAGACUCUGAUCCAGCAAUUCUGUGUGCACGAAGAAGGUUUUCGGAUUGUAAAGUGCUUUCAACAGGGAAGAAGGAAGUGACGGUACCUGUAGAAGAAGCGACGGCUAAAUACGUGCCAGCAGCCGCGGUAAUACGUAUGUCGCGAGCGUUAUCCGGAAUUAUUGGGCAUAAAGGGCAUCUAGGCGGCAAACCAAGUCAGGGGUGAAAACUUGUGGCUCAACCAUAAGCUUGCCUUUGAAACUGGUUUACUAGAGUAUUGGAAAGGUGGGCGGAACUACACGAGUAGAGGUGAAAUUCGUAGAUAUGUGUAGGAAUGCCGAUGAUGAAGAUAGCUCACUGGACGAUAACUGACGCUGAAGUGCGAAAGCUAGGGGAGCGAACAGGAUUAGAUACCCGGG
rnacentral:rRNA from 1 species